AUUGAACGCUGGCGGCAUGCUUUACACAUGCAAGUCGAACGGUAACAGGGUGCUUGCACCGCUGACGAGUGGCGAACGGGUGAGUAAUGCGUCGGAACGUGCCGAGUAGUGGGGGAUAACGCAUCGAAAGGUGUGCUAAUACCGCAUACGUACUGAGGUAGAAAGUGGGGGACCUUCGGGCCUCACGCUAUUCGAGCGGCCGACGUCUGAUUAGCUAGUUGGUGAGGUAAAGGCUCACCAAGGCGACGAUCAGUAGCGGGUCUGAGAGGAUGAACGGCCAAACUGGGACUGAGACACGGCCCAGACGCCUACGGGAGGCAGCAGUGGGGAAUUUUGGACAAUGGGCGCAAGCCUGAUCCAGCCAUGCCGCGUGUCUGAAGAAGGCCUUCGGGUUGUAAAGGACUUUUGUCCGGGAGCAAAUGCCUGGUGUUAAUAGCACUGGGAGCUGAGAGUACCGGAAGAAUAAGCACCGGCUAACUACGUGCCAGCAGCCGCAGUAAGAC
rnacentral:rRNA from 1 species